CCCUUAGAUGUCCUGGGCCGCACGCGCGCUACACGGAGUGUCUGAGAUACGAGUCUGCCUGGUCCGGCAAGGUCUAGGUAAUCGCUAAAAGACACAUCAUGCUUGGGAUAGAUUAUUGCAAAUAUUAAUCUUGAACGAGGAAUUCCUAGUAAGCGCAAGUCAACAGCUUGCGUUGAUUACGUCCCUGCCCUUUGUACACACCGCCCGUCGCUACUACUGAUUGGAUGUUUAAGCGAGGUUCUCGAACUGCUAGCGACUUAGCUUCGGUGAGGUCGCAGUGUGGGAAGUGAACCUAGCUUUGGUGUCUAGAGGAAGUAAAAGUCGUAACA
rnacentral:rRNA from 1 species